rnacentral:rRNA from 1 species
AUUGAACGCUGGCGGCAGGCCUAACACAUGCAAGUCGAGCGAGAGGCGGACGGGUGAGUAAUGUAUGGGAAACUGCCUGAUGGAGGGGGAUAACUCCUGGAAACGGUAGCUAAUACCCCAUACCAUCAGAUGAACCCAGAUGGGAUUCGCUUGUAGGUAGGGUAACGGCUCACCCAGGCGACGAUCCCUAGCUGGUCGGAGAGGAUGACCAGCCACACUGGAACUGAGACACGGCCCAGACGCCUACGGGAGGCAGCAGUGGGGAAUAUUGCACAAUGGGCGCAAGCCUGAUGCAGCCAUGCCGCGUGUAUGAAGAAGGCCUUCGGGUUGUAAAGUACUUUCAGCCGGGAGGCGUUACCGGCAGAAGAAGCACCGGCUAACUCCGUGCCAGCAGCCGCGGUAAUUC